rnacentral:pre_miRNA from 1 species
UUUGAGGGGAAUGUUGUCUGGCUCGAGGCCACGAACUCAAUCAAAUCGACAUCCUGAUCCAUUGAUCUCUAAAUCUCUAAUAGAUCUAGAAAGUUAGAUAGAUCAGGAUUGUUGUUAAUUUUUUUUGUGUUAGUGUCGUCGGACCAGGCUUCAUUCCCCCCAAU